GGACCAAAUUUGAAGUAAAGUAGAUUAUUACGAUCAGUUGACCCUACUAAACUACUCUACUUUUAGUUUGGGCCC
rnacentral:pre_miRNA from 1 species